GCUGGUGGUGUGCUUAUGCAUGCCAAUCGAACGGUAACAAAAUAGCUCGCUCUUGCUGACUAGUGGCGCACGGAUGAGUGAUGCAUAAGUAACGUGCCCCUUAUUCUAGGAUAGCCGCUGGAAACGAUGAUUAAUACUGGAUACUCCUUCUUCCUUAAUGGAAGUUGGGAAAGUUUUUCUCUAAGGGAUCGGCCUAUGUUGUAUCGUGUAUUUGGAGAGGUAGUGGCUCACCAACCCUAUGACACAUAGCGGGUCAGAGAAGAUGAUCCGCCACAGUGGUACUGACACACAGACCACACUCCUACGGGAGGCAGCAGUGGGGAAUAUUGCACAGUGGACGAAAGUCAGAUGCAACAACGCCGCGUGGAAGAUGACACUUUUCGGUGCGUACACUCCUUUUAUAUGAGAAGAUAGUGACGGUAUCAUAUGAAUAAGCACCGGCUAACUCCGUGCCAGCAGCCGCGGUAAUACAGAGGGUGCACGCGUUAUUCAGAAUCACUGGGCGUAAAGGGUGCAUACGCGGUUUGAUAACUCUGAUGUGAAAUCCUAUGGCUCAACCAUAGAACUGCAUUGGACACUGUCAAACUAGAAUACUGAAGGGGCAUAUGGAAUUAGUGGUGUAGGGGUAAAAUCCGUAUAUAUCACUAAGAAUACCGAAAGCGAAAGCGAUCUGCUGGGAAGUUAUUGACUCUGACGCACGAAAGCGUGGAGAGCACACGAUAUUAUAUACCCCGGUAGUCCACGCCCUACACUAUGAGUGCUACUCGUCAGAAAGCUCGUCUUUUCGGUGAUGCAGUUAACACAUUAAGCAUUCCGCCUGGAGAGUACGGUCGCAAGAUUAAAACUCAAAGGAAUAGACGGGGACCCGCACAAGUGGUGGAGCAUGUGGUUUAAUUCGAAGAUACGCGAAGAACCUUACCAAGCCUUGACAUUGAUUGAAUUCACCAGAGAUGGAGAAGUGCCUUUCGAGGAACAUGAAAACAGGUGCUGCACGGCUGUCGUCAGCUCGUGUCGUGAGAUGUUGGGUUAAGUCCCGCAACGAGCGCAACCCUCGUCGUUAGUUGCUAACAGUUCGGCUGAGCACUCUAGCGAGACUGCCUUCGCAAGGAGGAGGAAGGUGAGGACGACGUCAAGUCAUCAUGGCCCUUAUGGCUUGGGCUACACACGUGCUACAAUGGGGCGUACAGAGAGUUGCGAUACCGCGAGGUGGAGCUAAUCUCAUAAAGCGUCUCUCAGUUCGGAUUGGACUCUGCAACUCGAGUCCAUGAAGCUGGAAUCACUAGUAAUCGUAGAUCAGCAAUGCUACGGUGAAUACGUUCCCGGGUCUUGUACUCACCGCCCGUCACACCAUGGGAGUUGAUUUCACCCGAAAUCGGGAUGCCAAACUGGCUACCGCUUACGGUGGAAUUAGCGACUGGGGUGAAGUCGUAACAAGGUAGC
rnacentral:rRNA from 1 species